GGGGACGGGAGAGGAGCACCUGUGUCAGCUGCUGCUGGUGGGAAGCACACAGCGCUGACAAUCCACUUGCUAAGGUGGGAUUGAGGCGACCCUGACUUCACUUGCAAGCCUGCCUGGAGCGAGUUUACGAGAGCGGGAGCAAAAGUGGAAAGAGGGUCUUCCUAUUCAACGUGGGAGGAAGUAUGAACACCAGGAGGGAAAUCAUAAGGGCGUCUACCGUGGUUUGCCCCCUGGUCUCCAAUAAGCCACGUUCUUUCACAUGAAUUCUUUAGGGUUCCCUGGUGACCCUGAAGUAUGGUGCCCUAGAGGAAAGACAGGGGAAUGGUGAGUCCUUUCCUCUUCACUGGUGGCCUCCGUUACAGCAGCGACCUGGCCCUUCCUGGAUUUGUGGCCCACAUCAAGGCAGGAGAGAGAGAAGAAGGCUGAGGAAGCUGACAGCAGACGUGGUUUCCAAGGAAACAGGAAGUAAUCGCCAGGCCCUCUGAGGAUCAUUAUUUCUUUGUCCUGCUAAAAGCCAGAUGCUCCCACCUUCUAAGCCAGCUCAGACGGUUGAGCAGGCACCAAAAUGGGUCCCCAGGGAGGAGACGAGGGGCUGGGGGAGCCUAUGGAGGGGGCGCUGCUCCCUCUGCUGGACCCCCUUCCUCUCACGAGGCCUCCCCUUCCUCGCAAAGACAUGCCCUUCCCCCAAAUCUCCUU
rnacentral:lncRNA from 1 species